UUACGGUCAAAUCACGCUGAAAACACCGGUUCACGUUCGAUCACCGAAGUUAAGCAUCAAUGAAAGCGGAGUCCAGUACCAGAUGGGGUCCGCUUGGGAACACCUGGUACUGUAAG